rnacentral:lncRNA from 1 species
CAAAAUAACCUCUGGAAAAUCCCUGAUUUUUCAAGUUGAAGGAGUUAGCUACUAGAAAAUUAACUCAUUUCAUUUGGGAUCUAUUACAGUCCUAUCAGGCAUCUCUGAGGCUUAGGUUCAGUGUUUAGGAGUGAUCUUACUAAGGUUGAUGCCAAGAUCUUUUGUAGGUAAGUAGGAUUUUAUUACAGUUGAUUUAUUCUGAUGAAACGGGCCUAGAUAAACUGGAGCAACUACUUACUCCAGUGAGAGCUGUCCUAUGGGAUUGACUCAUUGCUUUGGUUGCCUUUGAACCAAGACAUUUGAUACAUAGAAGUUCUUGGGCAAUUCAGAGGGACCAAAAGAGGGUGUGUCAGUGAAGACUAAAAUAUAGCAUAAUUCCAGUAUUUUUCAUUAUCAGGAAAGCCUUCUCAUGGCCUUUAUGUUGAAUGGCUUAUGUGUCACAUAUUGCUCUCAUUAUGUAGUGACAUUUCUAUUAAAGGCAUAUGGCUGUCAGAACAUGUACAGUGAUACUCGGCAUUAUAACAUCAAUUUAUUGAUGCCAGGUAAAAUAAAAAAAGCAAGUAUUUCCAUUAGCUCUUACACAUAUUUUAAUGUGAUUUUUUUCAAUCAAAAAUUUUAAACA